rnacentral:hammerhead_ribozyme from 1 species
AUCCAGCUGACGAGUGCUAAAUAGGACGAAACGCGCAUCCUGGAU